GACGAACGCUGGCGGCGUGCCUAAUACAUGCAAGUCGAACGCAGUGGGGACGGGUGAGUAACACGCGGGUAACCUCCCAUCAGAGGGGAUAACACUUGGAAACAGGUGCUAAACCGAUACUGAUGGAUCAACCCGCGGUGCAUUAGCUAGUUGGUGAGGUAACGGCUCACCAAGGCCACGAUGCAUAGCCGGCCUGGGGGGGUGUACGGCCAACCUGGGAAUGAGGCACGGGCCAGACUGCUACGGGAGGCAACAGUAGGGAAUCUUCGGCAAUGGAGGAAAGGCUGACCGAGCAAAGGCGCGUGAGUGAAGAAGGUUUUCGGGUUGGAAAGCUCUGUUAAUCGGGACGCGGUACCGAAAUAGAAAGCCACGGCUAACUACGUGCCAGCAGCCGCGGUAAUAC
rnacentral:rRNA from 1 species